rnacentral:rRNA from 1 species
CCUACGGGGAGCAGCAGUAGGGAAUCUUCCACAAUGGGCGAAAGCCUGAUGGAGCAACGCCGCGUGGGUGAAGAAGGUCUUAGGAUCGUUAAACUCUGUUGUUAGAGAAGUAAGUGCGUGAGAGUAACUCUUCACGUUUCGACGGUAUCUAUCCAGAAAGCCACGGCUAACUACGUGCCAGCAGCCGCGGUAAUACGUAGGUGGCAAGCGUUAUCCGGAUUUAUUGGGCGUAAAGGGAACGCAGUCGGUCUUUUAAGUCUGAUGUGAAAGCCUUCGGCUUAACCGGAGUAGUGCAUUGGAUACUGGGAGACUUGAGUGCAGAAGAGGAGAGUGGAACUCGAUGUGUAGCGGUGAAAUGCGUAGAUAUAUGGAAGAACACCAGUGGCGAAAGCAGCUCUCUAAUCUGUAACUGACGCUGAGGUUCGAAAGCGUGGGUAGCAAACAGGAUUAGAUACCCCUGUAGUC